rnacentral:lncRNA from 1 species
GUCAAAGCUUGUCAUAUUUACUUCUGUAGAGUGGCAGGUUAUCCCACAGGUUCUAUUUUCAUUUGCUCCAUAUAAUUCUGCUUCACCUUUGCUUGCAGAUCUUUCUAGUGGAAGUCAGCAGAAUGCCUCUGUCUGGAGAAAUGUGUGUUGACCAAAGGGAAAGAUUGACUCAAGUGAGAACCGUGAUGGCUACCAGCAUCAGCUCCCUAGAUACUCUCAAAGCAAGGCCAGGCCCUAUUCAGGAAGCAGACGCAUUUUUCCUCAACUCUCCUAUUCAGGCAUUAACAGUGUGUAAAUGCAAUGUAAGCGCAACCUACAACAGCACGAAGUUAGCAGAAGGAAAAUGGACUCAGGAGCCUAGCAAAAGAAGGGAGCCUACAAAAAAAAGCAAACAAGGGAAAAAUAAAAGGAAAUAUAGCAUCAUAUAUCAUGCAUGGUGAGGCGAGACCCUUAGAGGGUUGAAUCAUUCAGAUGAUGUCUUAUCAUCAGAGAGCCUUGAAACCAUGUAAAGAGAGACUGAAGCCAACAGCAGACAACUGCUUGCUCUACAGGGGCAUCUGCAUGGGCUGGCUUCCACGUGUAAUUGCUAACAAGCCACAGGUGCCAAGCCGCAGGAGUCCGGGACAGCCCAAUUUUAAGAAGAGAAAUGAUAAUUCUCUACCCGUCAUUCAUCCCAAGGUGUGCUUGUCAUCUCUCAUAGCACAUGGUGAGUUACCUUUUUAUUAGUGGCUUUGGAAAUAUUUUCAUGAGUGAGAAGCUGCAACACCCUUAC